GCUGAAAGUAUAGUGGGAAAUAGUGUGAGAAUCACUGACCGUUCCUGCGCUGGUAAGAAAAAAAAUUAAAGUCCAGAAACCACUCAGU
rnacentral:ncRNA from 1 species